UACGGGGGGUGCGAGCGUUGUCCGGAAUCACUGGGCGUAAAGGGCGCGUAGGUGGUCUGGUAAGUUUGUGGUGAAAGCCCGGGGCUCAACCCCGGGUCUGCCAUGAAUACUGCUAGACUCGAGUACUGUAGAGGCUGGUAGAAUGCCGGGUGUAGCGGUGGAAUGCGUAGAGAUCCGGCGGAAGACCGGUGGCGAAGGCGGCCAGCUGGGCAGUUUCUGACACUGAUGCGCGACAGCGUGGGGAGCAAACAGG
rnacentral:rRNA from 1 species